AGUCGUAACAAGGUUUCCGUAGGUGAACCUGCGGAAGGAUCAUUAACACGUUUAGGACAUGAACGUAAGGGAGAGAGACCCUCGCUUGAGGCCAGCACAAGUUUCGGCGAUCGUUUACCCUUGCUAAUGACAGUCUUUUAACAUAGCAGCUCGUGAGAGCUAAGGGUGCCAAAACCGGAAUUCAGUUGAGAUGACCAGACGAACUCCAACCCCGAACAACUGUUAACAAUGGAUAUCUUGGCUCUC
rnacentral:misc_RNA from 1 species